AGGAAGAAGUAGAUAGUGUAGAGGGAAGCUUGUUGCAGUGGUGGAGAAGUGGAGGAAAAAGUGGGUAAUCUGGAGGGAGAAGUAGAUAGUGUGGAAGGAAGCUUGUUGCAGUGGUGGAGAAGUGGAGGAAAAAGUGGGUAAUCUGGAGGGAGAAGUAGAUAGUGUGGAAGGAAGCUUGUUGUAGUGGUGGAGAAGUGGAGGAAAAAGUGGGUAAUGUGGAGGGAGAAGUAGAUAGAGUGGAAGGAGUGGUGGAGAAGUGGAAGAAAAAGUAGGCAAUGUGGAGGGAGAAGAAGAUAGUGUGGAAGGAAGCUUGUUGUAGUGGUGGAGAAGUGGAGGAAAAAGUAGGUCAUGUGGAGGAAGAAGUUCUGUAUUGAUGGAGAGGUGGAGGAGGGAAGUGGAUAGUGUGGCAGAGAAGUGUGAUGGUGGAGGUGAAGAAGGAAGUGGAUAGUGUGUGGAAGAAGUUUUUGUAUUGGUGAAGAGCUGGACGAGAGAGUAGUGUGGAGGUGGUGGUUAGGUGGAGAGGUGGAAGGAAUGAGUGGAAACUGUCAUCACGGGGGCAGAGAUGGUUGGUACAGUUCCGUAAAGGCUUAAGGGGCUAUUACACUGGGCAAAUUUUCCGUGGAUCUUCAGUCAAACCAUGAUUUCCGCUGGCGUGGUUCUCAUAUUUCCGUGGCUUUCCGACGUGUCCAUGAUCUUCCAAAGCUACAGUGGAGUUCCUUGAAUGACAACGGUAUUACUCACCCUCAUCAUCAUCAGUAAUAACAAGAAACAAAUGAGAACCACGCUAGCGGAAAUCGUGGUUUGACUGACAAUCCACGGAAAAUUUGCCCAGUGUAAUAGCCCCUUAAGACAGGUGAUGAGGACGAACGAGGAUGACAGUGAAGAGUGCGUGAGAGCAAGGCGAAGGGAAAUGGGAUCAGGAGGCAACCAGGAGAAGGGAUCGGUUGAGUGGAUGAAUUCUGGAGAGAGAGAGAGAGAGAGAGAGAAAAAGAGUUGGCAGGCGAGGGAGGGACUUUGUUAUGCAUGGAAAGUUGGAGAUUGCAUGAAUGUUGCUUGUGUUGCUUUCUGUGUUGUCGGCAAGUUGUUGUUUUUUUACAGAGAGGAAGGUAUUAGGACACGUCUUCUCACCUAAUUGACCGCUCUUUCGGCCACCUCUUUGGAUUCUUUACAGGAGCAGCGAGUAGCGGGCUUUUUUUUUAUUAUUGUUUCCUUUUUUUGUGCCCUUGUGCUGUCUCCUUUGAUGUAAGAGAGAGAGAGAGAGAGAGAGAGAGAGAGAGAGAGAGAGAGAGAGAGAGAGAGAGAGAGAGAGAGAGAGAGAGAGAGAGAGAGAGAGAGAGAGAUUAAGGGAAAAACAUAUGAAAAUUAAAAAGCCCACUAAGCACUGAUCCUAUAGAAGAGUUUAGUGGCCAAAAGACAGGGCAGUUUUGAAUGGAGAGGUGUCUUGAUACUUGAAGGUUAACAGGUAUACAUUCCUCUGAUUGGUGACUUUCCAUGCGUAAAAAAUGUCGGAAAACUGCCAGAAUAGGAAAAAUUGGAGACAUGCCACAACCAUCCACUUGGGGAGGCAGGGCAUUGGCAGCACAGAUAGAUGAGAGAUUGAGGUUCAGUUUCUGUGAGUAAAUAGAUUCAUACUACGAGUGCGAGAGAUGUGCAAAGAAACUCACAGCUACUUUCUCUUGCCGAUUGGAAGAGUGUGUGUGUCUGACUACAAAGGCAUGGGGCGCACACAAGCCAGUCGCCGCAACUGGAUCACUCGAGUCCAUUUCCAGUAGCCAGUAACUUCAAAGCGAAUAUCUGCGGUGACAUUGCUAUUAUUUAUAUUUGCCUUUUUAUUAUUAUUAUUAUUAUUAUUAUUUUUUACAGUAAAGGAAGCAGCUCAAGGACAAAAAAAUAGCCAAGAGGAAAAAAAAACCUUCUAAUCACUGCCCAUAAUAAAAAAGAGUAUGGGUGACCGGCCAAAAGAGAGGUCAAUUUCGGGAGUGGAGUUUUAUCUAGUUCAUUCAGCAGGGCUUCAAGAGAGAAUUAACAGCCUUAGUCUAUGUUCUUCUAUUUCUUGUUUAGUUUCUGGUCAUGUUAUUGCUUUGUUUACUCCGAGCGUGGCCAAAAGAGAGGUCAAUUUCUGGAGUGCAAUUUUAUCUAGUUCAUUCAGCAGGGCUUCAAGAGAGAAUUAACAGCAUUAGUCUAUGCUCUUCCAUUUCUUGUUUUAUUUCUGGUCAUGUUAUCGCUUUGUUUAUUCGGAGCGUGGCCAAAAGAGACGUCAAUUUCGGGAGUACAAUUUUAUCUAGUUCAUUCAGCAGGGCUUCAAAAGAGAAUUAACAGCCUUAGUCUAUGUUCUUCCAUUUCUUGUUUUUGUUUCUGGUCAUGUUAUCGCUUUGUUUACUCCGAGCGUGGCCAAAAGAGAGGUCAAUUUCUGGAGUGCAAUUUUAUCUAGUUCAUUCAGCAGGGCUUCAAGAGAGAAUUAACAGCCUUAGUCUAUGUUCUUCCAUUUCUUGUUUUUGUUUCUGGUCAUGUUAUCGCUUUGUUUAUUCCGAGCGUGCCCAAAAGAGAGGUCAAUUUCGGGAGUACAAUUUUAUCUAGUUCAUUCAGCAGGGCUUCAAGAGAGAAUUAACAGCCUUAGUCUAUGUUCUUCCAUUUCUUGUUUUUGUUUCUGGUCGUGAUAUCGCUUGGUUUACUCCGAGCGUGCCCAAAAGAGAGGUCAAUUUCUGGAGUGCAAUUUUAUCUAGUUCAUUCAGCAGGGCUUCAAAUGAAUUCCCUUAGUCUAUGUUCUUCCAUUUCUUGUUUUGUUUCUGGGGGUGUUAUUGCUUUGUUUACUCCGAGCGCUGGCCUCCACUCCACGUUGUUACGAGCCAGUUCUCUCCGUGCUGGCGGCAGACACACACACCCUCCACUCCGCCGCAGUUGUAUCAAGCUUCUUAAAUUAUAUUCUGUGCCUCCACCA